AUGGACGACGGGGUGGACCUCCCGAGCCAAUUCCUCUUCCCGCACCCGGAGAUGCCCGGCGCCUUCAGCGACCUCCUGGGCGACGCCGCCGCGACCUGCACCCACACGCACACCUGCAACCCUCCGGGCCCGUCAGCCGCCACGCACACGCACACCUGCCUGCACACCCACACCCACCAGCUCUUCGCCGCCGGCAGCGAGGACGACGACGCGGCGCGGCCCCGCCGGCCGCUGGGGAACCGGGAGGCCGUGCGCAAGUACCGGGAGAAGAAGAAGGCGCACGCCGCGUUCCUGGAGGAGGAGGUCAAGCAGCUGCGCGCCGCCAACCAGCAGCUCCAGCGCCGGCUGCAGGGCCACGCCACGCUUGAGGCCGAGGUGGCGCGGCUGAGGGGCCUCCUCUUCGACGUCCGGGCCAAGAUCGACGCGGAGGCCGCCGGCGCGUUCCCGUUCCAGAAGCAGUGCAGCGUCGGCUCCGUGGCGUGCGCCGACCCGACCCUCUGCUUCAACAAUGGCAACUCUGAGGUCGGUGGCGCCUGCUGGGAGGACAGCUCCGGGCCGGCGGCUGCGGAUUACAGGUUCGAUGAAGACGGCAAUGGCAAUGGCGGCGCGUCGCGGGAGAUCGAUGCUCCGGAACAACCGGUGCGUUCCAUGGAUGUCGUUGAGCUCUGCUGCUUCCCUAGCUGA
rnacentral:rRNA from 1 species